AGGUAUGCUUAGGGAGGAGCUUGCGUCACAUUAGUUAGUUGGUGGGGUAAAGGCCUACCAAGACUAUGAUGUGUAGCCGGGCUGAGAGGUUGAACGGCCACAUUGGGACUGAGACACGGCCCAAACUCCUACGGGAGGCAGCAGUAGGGAAUUUUCGGCAAUGGAGGAAACUCUGACCGAGCAACGCCGCGUGAACGAUGAAGUAUUUCGGUACGUAAAGUUCUUUUAUUAGGGAAGAAUAAAUGAUGGAAAAAUCAUUCUGACGGUACCUAAUGAAUAAGCCCCGGCUAACUAUGUGCCAGCAGCCGCGGUAAUACAUAGGGGGCAAGCGUUAUCCGGAAUUAUUGGGCGUAAAGGGUGCGUAGGCUGUUAAAUAAGUUUAUGGUCUAAGUGCAAUGCUCAACAUUGUGAUGCUAUAAAAACUGUUUAGCUAGAGUAAGAUAGAGGCAAGUGGAAUUCCAUGUGUAGUGGUAAAAUGCGUAAAUAUAUGGAGGAACACCAGUAGCGAAGGCGGCUUGCUGGGUCUUUACUGACGCUGAGGCACGAAAGCGUGGGGAGCAAACAGGAUUAGAUACCCUGGUAGUCCACGCCGUAAACGAUGAGUACUAAACGUUGGGUAAAACCAGUGUUGAAGUUAACACAUUAAGUACUCCGCCUGAGUAGUACGUACGCAAGUAUGAAACUUAAAGGAAUUGACGGGACUCCGCACAAGCGGUGGAUCAUGUUGUUUAAUUCGAAGGUACCCGAAAAACCUCACCAGGUCUUGACAUGCUUCUGCAAAGCUGUAGAAACACAGUGGAGGUUAUCAGUUGCACAGGUGGUGCAUGGUUGUCGUCAGCUCGUGUCGUGAGAUGUUGGGUUAAGUCCCGCAACGAGCGCAACCCUUAUUGUUAGUUGCCAGCACGUAAUGGUGGGGACUUUAGCAAGACUGCCAGUGAUAAAUUGGAGGAAGGUGGGGACGACGUCAAAUCAUCAUACCCCUUAUGACCUGGGCUACAAACGUGAUACAAUGGCUGUUACAAAGGGUAGCUGAAACGCAAGUUUUUGGCGAAUCUCAAAAAAACAGUCUCAGUUCGGAUUGAAGUCUGCAACUCGACUUCAUGAAGUUGGAAUCGCUAGUAAUCGCGAAUCAGCAUGUCGCGGUGAAU
rnacentral:rRNA from 1 species